UUCCGGAUUUGGACAUCGAGCAUUCUC
rnacentral:piRNA from 1 species